GCAUAUCUAUAAGCGGAGGAAAAGAAACUAACAAGGAUUCCCCUAGUAACUGCGAGUGAAGAGGGAAAAGCCCAGCACCGAAGGUAGUAUCCAUUUGGGUACCUACCAAUGUGGUGUUAAGGUCAGCUCACGUAGGUGCGGCUCCAUCUCAAGUCCAGCAAUGAGUACGGCUAUGGACUGAGCCCAGAGCGGGUGAAAGGCCCGUUGAGGUGGAGUUCAGAAAUGACCGCGCCUAUUGUGUUUGACCAUGGAGUCGGGUUGUUUGUGAAUGCAGCCCUAAGUGGGUGGUAAACUCCAUCCAAGGCUAAAUACUUACACGAGUCCGAUAGCGAACAAGUACCGUGAGGGAAAGUUGAAAAGUACUUUGAAGAGAGAGUAAACAGUGCGUGAAGCCGCAUAGAGGUUAAACGGGUAGAGUUAAACUGCGUGGGUCAUGGAUUCAGCCGAUGAAUUUGACUUGUGCUUGGACAAAUUGAUUCGUCCUCAGAGUCUGCUUAGCUGCAGGUCCCAUCCAGGAUUCGCGAAGCACUUACCAAGUGUUGCGUGCUCUGUUGAUGAGAUGUCAGUUCAUUGGUGCACUUCCAUGGCUCCUUGACCACGAUCGGUGUCAUUGGACUGUCCUCGUUGUCAAACUGUGGAUGUAGAACAUGUGUCUAUGUCUAUGGUGUGAUAGCACCCCUGCGUAUGCAGGUCACAGUUGGCUUCGAGAUACAAGCCGAUGGACCGGGGCAACGGCCUUGGCGUGCUCUUAUGCCCUCUAAUAGAUUGUGUUGGGUAUGGUUUUUGUGUGCUUGUGUAAGCAGGCCCAUUGACUACUCAGUGUUUUCUAUUAGUGUGGUGCUGGAGUGGCCAAAUUGAGGGCCAAAGUCAGUGGUGUGUGGUAAACUAUCUACCCGA
rnacentral:rRNA from 1 species